GACGAACGCUGGCGGCGUGCUUAACACAUGCAAGUCGAACGCUGAAGCUUGGUGCUUGCACUGGGUGGAUGAGUGGCGAACGGGUGAGUAAUACGUGAGUAACCUGCCCUUGACUCUGGGAUAAGCCUGGGAAACUGGGUCUAAUACUGGAUACUACAUGUCACCGCAUGGUGGCGUGUGGAAAGGGUUUUAUUGGUUUUGGAUGGGCUGACGGCCUAUCAGCUUGUUGGGUGGGUAAUGGCUCACCAAGGCGACGACGGGUAGCCGGCCUGAGAGGGGGACCGGCCACACUGGGACUGAGACACGGCCCAGACUCCUACGGGAGGCAGCAGUGGGGAAUAUUGCACAAUGGGCGAAAGCCUGAUGCAGCGACGCCGCGUGAGGGAUGACGGCCUACGGGGUGUAAACCUCUUUCAGCACGGAAGAAGCGAAAGUGACGGUACGUGCAGAAGAAGCGCCGGCUAACUACGUG
rnacentral:rRNA from 1 species